ACUAUUAGUGCAAGCUAAAUGUUUACAAGCGGCGCACGCAGUAGGUACCUGUUUGUGAGGGGGGGACUAUCGAUCGGGGCGAGGCGAACGAGGAACGUAGCGCGAACUGCGAAUUACGAGUCAGUCCCCGUCUGAACCACACGCAGUCAAACACGUGCGAUUGUGAAAAGUGAACCGUGCAACAGAGACUGACUAUCGCUUGCUUCCAGAGGAGCGACAUGCAGCCAUAAUACUGGCCGCACUGAUCUUAAAUAUACAGAUAUGCUCCAGUCGCUAUUGCAACCAAAUACACAUCGGACGAAGCGUACCGCCAUUAAAAUGAUUGGGGCAAUGCCAGCAGUAGCAGUCCGUCAUGAACGGCGUCGAGUGGAGAAGCGGAGUGGGGGGAGGAGACCCUCGCAACUGCCCCUCCAGCUUGGCCGGGGUGUAGAGGAGGCGUCACCCUCUCCAGACCGCAGAUGCGUACCAUAUCUGUGCUGCUUCACAAAGACCACAUUCCUGCACGCAGUGGUAGGGUCCUUGGUGCUGGGGAUCGUGGUGUUGGUGGUGGGACUAGUGCAGCUGUCUCCGGGGGCUGAGGCAGCUCAGUACCGAUUCUAUCUGAUGGGAGCUGGAGCCGCGCUCAUAGGGUCUGGCAUACUUGGAACUAUUCUACGAUGCUACUGCAUACACAUAUUUGACAGGGAGUAUAAUAGGGAAUACCGGGAACCGGGAGUAGCUCAGCCCAACCAGAAGCAGGUGGGUGUUGUGGACCCCCACGACUACAAACACAAGCUCAAGACACAGCCAAGCAUGAGUCGCGAAGCCGAGCUCACCAAGCAACCAUCGGCUGGAAGUGAAACUUAAAUAUCCUUUCAUUAUAUGGAGUGUAAUAUCGAAAGGUUCGCUUAUAUUUUUAUUUGUAAAUAAAUUAUUGAUUUAUUGUACGAAAUAAUAGAUCUGUACAGUGUUUACCCCGAGCAGUACUGAUGCAACACAUUAUCUGUCGCAUAACGAUGUUUUGCUUUGAAUUGCAUUACAGGCACGUGACUUAGAUAAUAUUUUAUACGUCUAGAUAUAGCCUUUUGUUGGUAGGCAACGUGUGAUAACAGGCCAGGUUUAUCAAAAUAGUGUGCAUGACAGUUGCGUCUUACAUUCGCGAUAUGCUAGUCAUUUUGGUUUAGUGUGCGUGUGUUGUUGAAAAUAGAGGUUAAGAGUUCGUCGUUAUUUUUUUCGACGUUUUCACAGCUGUCUAGGCGUAUAAAUUAUCUAAGGCACUUGAGAUACUCUGUAAGGCUGAGAUAAAAAGAGCGUACUUAAACUUUGCUUAGACUCUACUUAGGUAAUACUUAGCCAAGUGUGAUCAAAUGCGAACUUUACUUUUGCUUUGGCCUGUCUCAGCUUAAGCUCAGUAAAAUUUCAGCUGUCAAAUGACUGUAUAAAAAAGGGAAGAUUAUGUUAAGCUAACCAUCAGCUAAUAUAACAUAAGUAAAGUCUAAGUACGCUCAACAGAUGUCAGCCUAAGUCCCAUGCUGGCAGACCUAGAAUGAUACACUUCAGCUCUUUUUGUAAAGCGACUCAGAUUGGUAUGUCACUGUUAUGACCAAAUGACACCAACUGACCUGUAGAAAUACCACUGGACAGGCUGUUCCAUAUAUUUGACACAAUUUUUUGUGCCUAUUUGAAGCACCACUUGCGAGCAAAUUUUGACGAUGCGAUGGAAGGGUACUGUACCUACUCUGAAAUAUUUUUGGAUGCUGGAUUAAUUUCAUUCGUUUUCCGUAUUAUUUAUACAUCAGGAAUUAACAUAAUAAAGUACAUAUUUUUUUUAUGGUAUAUAGUUUUCCUAUCGAUGUUUGUUUAGCUGAGGUUGUCAUUACUAGUUUUAGUAACGCAGACCAUCGCUACAUGGCCAACAGCGCCAAAAUGGCGAAUAUCAAACAGGCACAAAAGCACUUUGACAGCCGCCAGUCCAGUGGUAAAUAGUAGAGGUCAGUGUUGACACCACAUAAUAUUCAGUAAAUGGCUUAUUGUUGUAUCUAUACAUUUUAUUGAAUUUGUUGUUUGUAUUCAUUUUAAAGGUUUUUUUUUCUAAGUGUCAAAUUUGAGUAAGAUUCUCGGAUACUUGAUAUGCUUUACUUACACUCCAACUUUAAGCCUUUAUAAAAAAUAUAUUAUAAGUAUUGUAUUAAAUACUCGUUACUAUAGGAAACAUUAAAUAAAAUAUUUGAAAUCUUUUGAUAUACCUUUAAAUUUUGAGGACACUUUAGUUUAUUUAAAUAUAGACUUUUGAGGUUAUUUAUUUUUAGAUUUAACAAUUUUAUUAUAUUUAAGUUAUGUUUACUUAUAGUUUCAGUAAAUCAAUACCCUAAAAUAAACGAUUUGUCGAUUUGUAAUCUAGUGCCUACUUAACUUUUAUUAAGUAGGCAAGUAGGUACUAACUUAUAAAAUUAUUUUUACAAAAUUUUAAACAAAGUGCACAUUUCAAUAUUUACAUGUUUGAUACAUAAAUAGUUUCCAACUGCAAAUGCGAGUCUAUUUUUGGUAAAUAUGAAAGUACCCGCAAAUCAAACAUAUCAUAACAAUAUCAACGGAAUUCAAGGUACAUUCGAAUGAUAUUCGAUAUAACAUAACAUUACUGUAUAUAAUAAUAUUUUUAAUAAUUUUGUAUGAUUUACCCUCUACACCGUCCGAUUUUGUUGAUUUCUUCCAAGAUUUUAAAAUGUUAUAACAAAUACAUAUAAUUGUAUUUAAGACAUGAUUGCGACCAUGUUUUCGUGUAUUACUGGUAAUAGUAUUAAUAAGGUCCUGUCAUAAAUUAUUCAAGAAGUUCUGUCUCCUACAAACAUCACUAUCUACAUUGAGAAAAGAAACAUAAUCAGCUAUUUUUAGUAUUAGGUCCGUAUUACAAAAGUGGUCCAUUACUUAAUUUAUUAUCAAGUGUAUUGUUGUCAGCAUUGAAAUGUAACUAAGAAGGCUUCUACACUGGUUUACUUCAGUAUAUCUAACUGCGGAAACUUUUCUACAACCUGUAAAUAUACCAAUCAAAAUAAACUUUUUAAACUUUACCAUUUUCUAAUAAGUGCCUCAAUAGUCAAUAUCCAAGGCGUCGCAAGCGUACGGAUAUCAAUAUAAAGACGGCAGUGGUCCCGCAAUGAAUUGGUACUUGUAACAUUAAUACUAAUAUUGAAAUUUUAUACAAAAUAGGAUUAAAAAUUACUUAUUGCAAGUCAAAUACUACUACUCAUUCGAAAAGGAAAAAACCUGACAAGAACGGGUGCAAAAAACUCAGCGGUCUUCUUUUUUUUCAUAAUUUAUAUCACAAUAAAAUUUAUUAUUUUGAUAUAAAAAUUAUGGUCGCUCAAAUCUUAAUGUGCUAAUAUCAUCAAGAAAGCCAUUUAUGGUAUAGUAACUACACAAACGAUUAUUAACAAUUCUUUUGUUUUAUACAUUUUCUGGAAUCAUGUUGUAAAAGCAUAUAUACAUCGCCUAACAAAAUACCUACUAAGUCGUCUGAACCGGUGUAAUGACAUUAAUUAUCUUAUUAUUUAGAUUUCUAUGGUUGUCACUGAAAGACUACCAUGCUUUUGGAAUACGGCCAAAUUUGAACAUUGAAUAAUAUUUGGGCAAUAUUUAGGGCGGUAUUUCACCGGGACACCAUGGUGGCGGGUGGCGCAACCAGUCGCCGCUACCAACUAACGGCCGUUUUCAAUAACCUAUUUAUCCUUAGUUAAACUUACUAGAUAGACAAAUCUAUCCUUUUACGCUUACUUACAUUUCAAUAACCUAUUGACAGAUAGCAUUGGACUUUCAGCCGUUUUCAAUAACCUACAUAUCCUUAGUUUAACUUACGGAUACAUUGCUGUCACCGUUUAAUGACAAGAUCUUAUCAAUCCAUAGUUAUGUCCAAUAUAAUAUAGUCCAAUGCUAUCUGUUAAUAGGUUAUUGAAAUGUAAGUAAGCGUAAAAGGAUAGAUUUGUCUACUUCUAGUAAGUUAAGUUAAGGAUAGAUAGGUUAUUGAAAACGGCCGUAAAUGUAUACAGCUCUAUAGAGAGUUAUUCACUGGUAUCCGUUUCAGCUCGGACACGUCAUGACACUGGUGUCUAGUUUGGUAGCUUACGCGCAACCAGUCGCGCCACCGUGGUGUGGUGUCCCUGUGAAAUAUAGCCCUUAUUGUAUUCAUGAGUCCUUCUUUCACUGAGCUUAUAUUAUUAUAACUUUGUUCUUUUAAUGUGUCAGAACUUUUUGGAAAUUUGAACGGGCGUAAAUAUUUAUGUAUUUAGAUACUCGAAUCAUUGUCAGUGUUAACAAUUAGUAUUAAGUAUUUCUGUCAUUUACGACUAUCUCGAUAUGUAGGUAAGUAUAUACUAUUGUUUACUGGACAUAUUUUGCUGGAUUUGUUAUCAAAAAUUUAUAUAUUUUUUUUCUUUCAACGCAAUGAGGGCAAAUACGAUGCUGCUUUAAGCCGCACUUAAGUUGGCAAGGUUUACCACUUACUCUUGAACUUGACAUGAAGGUGACGAGAUAAACAAGACGUUCACCUCACAGUAAGUGAUGUGCCUAAUAACUUCAUUCAACCCAAUAUUCAAGUGGCAUGGUAGUUGCGCUUUGUCAGAAGGCACUUUGAGGCAUAGCAUGUUAAAGGUCGGACCGCAUUACAGCGCCGCAGCGCAGAACUGCAAACCGCAGUACAAAGCGUCGAAAUAUUAUUUCGAUCAUUUCGUAUGCAUGUCGGUUAACUUGAGCGGUCCAACUAGAGCGGUCUUGCACUGUGCUUUCUGAGCUAAAAAACCUCUUACUAUACUUCAACAAAAAUAUUAUUCUUAAUUUAAAAUAACACAAUCGGCUUAGACGUGACGCAAGUUAAAAUAAAACUGGAUAACGUAAAUAUUUCGUUAAAAUAUUUGAUAAAAAAAUAGAUUAUUUUUUUAACCAAUUUACUCAAUUAAUAAUAAAUUGUUUAUUCAUGUAAAUAAUUAACAAAUUGGAUAGUGUUAACAUGUGAAGGUUUUCGUUUGUGAGUUAAAUGAUUUAAAUUGUCUUAGUUUUGUAGGAAAACUACGAGACAAUAAAAUUGUAUUCGGUAGCAUUCGGGAACUACGAUGUUUUGUUUAUAAAUUAAAAAAAAGGAUUUAGUAUGGUUAGAAUUUUAUGAAUAUAUAUAUUUGUUUUAUGUAUAUAUGAUAUAUCAACAAACAAUAUCCGACGUCAGCCGCCAAAUACGAGGUUAUUGUGAAAUACAUCUAAUAAAAAUUUAGGUUAAAAUAUAUUUCAAAAUUAUUCGCAAAUAAAAAAUAAAAAUCUAAUCAUAUGAGACUGACCCAGUGUUCUAAACAAAAACAUUGAAUUAGUUCCAUCAUUUUCAAAUUAUGAUUUUCAUAUAAAUUGUUUUAAAAAAAAUUAUUGUAUUACCCACGAUAAAAUUAAGACAUCCAUUUCAUUACAUAUUCUAAAAUAAUUAUAAUAUGGGUCCAAUAAAUGAUCCAUACUUAAAUUAAAUAGUAGAUUUCAUACUUAUCUACCAUUUUUCUUCUAUUGGUGUUGUGGAUAAAUGUCGUUUUAGAUUUUAUCUUACUGUUUACUAAUAAAUUUUAUGUGGAAUUAGACUAUGCAGUACGACGAAUUGUAAAUACUUUGAUGUUGACAUAUGAUUCAUUAAAUAAGUUUAAAUAUUUUGAAUUUAAAGUUAAAAUAAGCUGGUGUUUCGAGACAUAUAUUAACAUCAAAAAUACGUUGUGUUCCUUAUUGGAUCGUGUUUGUUAAAGGAAAGAAUCAUUUAGUUAUUAUUACAAUUAGCACUUUCAUUAUCUGUAUAAGGUUGAGUUGCAUCAUAUUAGUUGUUACAGUUAAGGUUUAAAUCAAAUUGAACGUUAACAGUAACGCUUACUUUAACAUAGACUGCGGUAUGCAACUAACAAAUUACACUCUUUACAUGCUUAAUCUUAAAAUAUAAUAAUAAAAUGGAUAAGAGUUAAUUCACUUAUAAGCUAUCACAGCAUUCAUAAUUUUUACUACCCUUAUAGGACAGUAGUUUUAACAACUUAUAAAUUAAAAUAUAAAAAUAUUGUAAUAUAUAAUUUAAAAUAAAAAUGAAAGUAUGAAAACAAAGUUUCUAAGUCCCAUGUGUAAAUUAAGCAUUAUCUUUUUAUAUUGAGCAAGCGGAAUGAAUAAAUCAAUGUUCUGCAAUUUGGCCAGUGAGUUAUAUGACCUACAGAGCCUAGAAAUAGUUGCAUUUUGACCCAGAUUAGUCCUAGAUUGUGGUACUACAAACAACGAAUAGGCAUUUUUUCUUAUAAAUUUUGGAGGAAUUAAUUCUUAAUUAUUCUUUUUAUUCGAAUAUUAAUUUCAAACUUUUGACAUCAAAUAAUAUAUUCACUUUCUUUUUCUUGUAUGUUAACGUCUCUCUUCCACGCUUUGUAUGUCUAAUAAUUUAAUAAAAUAUAUUAUUUUAAAAUAAAAUCAAAUAAACUUACAAUUUUAUAUACAUUUUGAAUUAUUAAAAUUAAAAGUCGGUUUUACUUUAAUAACUAUACUCGUCAUAGACAAUUUGACUCUAGGCAAUUGUUGGUUGAAAUUUCAACUAGAAACAACUGCGGAAGGCGUCCUUAAAGGUAAUAAGCUACGGCCUUUCUCAGAUUUAGGCUGCAUUUAGUGGUCGACCGACACGGACGGUCAGCGUUGACCAUGUUGCGUUCAAUGCUCAGCUGACAGAAAAAUUGAUUACGCGUGUACAAUUACAGUACAUUAUCGCCAUAGCGCGUUAGUAGAGCGACGCUGACGUACGCCUACCGAAGAGCUCGACCGACGAAUCUCGUCAGCGCGACCUUGACGUAGCUGUACGCGCGUAGAGAUUCCUCAGCGCUAGACUGUACGCGUUCAUAUUAUGUUUCCAUUGUUAUAGCUACGCUUGACUGACGCCAGCGCUGACCGUCUGUCUAGCACUAAAUGCAGCCAUAAAAACUCAAAAUUAAUAUGUCAGUCGUGCUAAUGCGGACGUGACAACAAUCAGUACGGACAACAAGGGGACUACUGCAACUUUGAUUUAUUAUAAAUAAAUAAAUGAAGCCGUUAUAAGUAGUCCAGCACUUACAAAACAUAAAAAAAAAUGAAACAGAUACACAAAGAUGAUACUGAUCUCCAUCAAAAUAGUUACUGACCUAAGUUAAAGCCCCUAACUUGUGUCCUCUUAAUACGUAAAGUCUCAAACCUCAAUCAUAGUCAAGUGAAUCACUUCAUCAUGGAUUACGUAUUUAGUCCUUACGUGAUUUUAAAUGAAAGCGUAUUUGAAAAUCAGCCAUCUUGAAAGUUGUAACCGCCUUUCCUUUUGUGAGACAAACACAUCCAACGAAGGAGAGUUUCAAUAAUAAAAAUAUAUUACAAUGAACACGAUGUAUUACUACUAGAUAUAUUAAUCGGUGUUAGAGUUAAGUAUUUACUUCUUAUUGUAGGGUUAUGUUAGGAGUCGAUAUUAGCGAAUUAAAUUUUCGAUAUUUUAUGAGCAUAUUACUGUAUUUAUAUUACGCUUUAGUACAUUCUGAUUUGCAAAAUAUUAUUCAGACUGCUAUAAAAAUAUAUAUAUAUUUUGAAAGCUUGGACAAUUUUAAAUGUUUUACGUAUUUUUUAUUACAAUUAGAAGGGCUUCAAAUGUCACCUGUAUUGUGAAAACAAGCAAAGCAUCUGAAAAUACACCUGAAGCAAACUCGCUUCAUUUUCAUUUUGGCAUUUCUUUUCAAGGUUUUGGGAAUAGUGACAGAUGUCCCUAAACUUUCCGUUUAUGAAGAAAACACCAUUAUAGGCAUCGCGGCGUUACAAAGGCGAUAUUAAAUGAACACACAGGGAAGAAGUACUUAACCUUCAUCAUAAAGAAAUAAAUCUAAUAAUCAAAUUAAAUAUUUGAAAUAUUGAAAUUUACAAACAAACUAUGUAAUUAUAUUAUAUGUAGGAAACAACAGUUUAAACAACCUCUCCUGGUCGCACAAGAUGGCACGAAGUUGGUGUCAGUGGCUAGCUAGUGCGCGGAUACUAGAUUACUUACAGGCUGUUCCGAAAUUAUAUUAUGGAAAAUUUAUUUAUUUAGGUGAAUUAUGUAUUUUUAUUUUUAAUUAAUUUCUUAAUGAUUAUGGUUAAAUAGUUCUACCCCUGCGUUUAUUUCUGAUAUCACGCUGAAUCUAUACGUAUAAAAAUAAAAGUAUAGUUUUCAUUUGAUUUAAUUCAUUAUUCAAUGCAGCAAUAUGAGUAAUUGGAACUUAGCAUUUUGACUCUUGAUAUUAUUAAGUGGCAAUGAGUUGUCCAGGCUUUCAAAGGUGAUGUAUUUAUGUUUUUUUUUUAAAUUUAUAGAAUGUUUUGUGAACAAUGAACGUAGCCCAUAUCAUCUCUUUAAAAUGCCAUAAUUUAGUUGUCCAUGUUAUCAAAAUAUCAUUGAACAUUAUCCCCCUUAUUCAUAAUGGCUCGCUAACUUUAAAGAGCCGCUAAGGAGUGUUUUUUCUCAUUCUGACUUAGGUCAAUAGAAGAAGACAGAGUGCGAAUUAGCAAUGCUUUAAGUUAGCAGACUAUUAUGAAUAAGGGGGUAUAAAUAUAUAUUGUAUAUGUAAAGUAUGUAUAUUUUAGCGCUUUCUCUAUUCAAUUGCUGUGCCAAAUUAGUUUUUGGAAAUUUCGCCGAAUUUAUAUACCUACGUAGGUAAACAUAAUGCGUAUCCAUGUUACGAAAAAUAUAUAUGCUUGUUGAAAUAAAUACCUAGUUAAUCUCUAUUUUACAAUUCUUUAACGGAUUUGACAUACCUUUCAUAAUUAUUAAGCUUCCAUGUAGGUACUGUGGAUGUUAGAUUUUGUAAGAUUUUAGUGAUACUUAAAAUUCUAUUUUGAAUUCUAAAAUAAUCGUAUAAUUAAGAAUUACAAAGAUACUUAUGUCUAGUCAACCAAUCCGAACUUAAUGCCUGACGGGUUCAACCGAUUACGUAUUUAAUAAACCAUUUUUUUUUCAUUUUGUAUUGCAAUCUCUAUUAACCCUAUGUUCUCCUGGUAGAAAAGCUAUUCGAUGCUUAAUACACCCAUCAAUAAAGACCGUGUAAUUCAAUAAUUAAUAUAUUUAAAUCAGACAUUGUAUCUUCGUCUCAGUUUGACGGGCGCAGUGUAACGUGACCGGGGUCAUAUCGCUACAUAACACUAUGCUCUAGGUCCACAUUACAAAGAGUCCUAAAGUCUAGGACACUUUGUAAUGUGUCGAAUCAAAUAAUAUUAUCACAAUAAAUAUGAUGAAACAACAAUUUCUUUCUUCUUAGUUAUAAGAAGCAAAUCAUUUUCCCUCUAAAUUCUAUCUUCUACAUGUUUUCUUCUCCCGUAGUACUUGGUUCUUAUUUUUGCUUAUAAAUUGUAUAUAAGUUGUGUUACAUUCCGCGUGUACAUGUGAGUUUCGCCAAUAAAAAUUUAAAUAUGUUAUUGAUGUUUCACUUAACAAAUCUAUUUAUUCUAAGUUUCAUUUUUCUAUCCGUCAUGCUGUCAGGACGUAGUAUUAAUUUCAUAAUAUUAUUUUCAUAGACGUUGCAUGUUUUAGUUGUUUAAGUAUAUAAUAUUAUUUAAAUUAUUAAAUAAUUUAGAUUUUAAUUUAAGUUAAUGACUGUACUAUUUUAUAGCUCAUAUAUUUUAUACUGAUG